rnacentral:rRNA from 2 species
GAUGAACGCCGGCGGUGUGCCUAAUACAUGCAAGUCGUACGCACUGGCCCAACUGAUUGAUGGUGCUUGCACCUGAUUGACGAUGGAUCACCAGUGAGUGGCGGACGGGUGAGUAACACGUAGGUAACCUGCCCCGGAGCGGGGGAUAACAUUUGGAAACAGAUGCUAAUACCGCAUAACAACAAAAGCUGCAUGGUUUUUGUUUGAAAGAUGGCUUUGGCUAUCACUCUGGGAUGGACCUGCGGUGCAUUAGCUAGUUGGUAAGGUAACGGCUUACCAAGGCGAUGAUGCAUAGCCGAGUUGAGAGACUGAUCGGCCACAAUGGAACUGAGACACGGUCCAUACUCCUACGGGAGGCAGCAGUAGGGAAUCUUCCACAAUGGGCGCAAGCCUGAUGGAGCAACACCGCGUGAGUGAAGAAGGGUUUCGGCUCGUAAAGCUCUGUUGUUGGAGAAGAACGUGCGUGAGAGUAACUGUUCACGCAGUGACGGUAUCCAACCAGAAAGUCACGGCUAACUACGUGCCAGCAGCCGCGGUAAUACGUAGGUGGCAAGCGUUAUCCGGAUUUAUUGGGCGUAAAGCGAGCGCAGGCGGUUGCUUAGGUCUGAUGUGAAAGCCUUCGGCUUAACCGAAGAAGUGCAUCGGAAACCGGGCGACUUGAGUGCAGAAGAGGACAGUGGAACUCCAUGUGUAGCGGUGGAAUGCGUAGAUAUAUGGAAGAACACCAGUGGCGAAGGCGGCUGUCUGGUCUGCAACUGACGCUGAGGCUCGAAAGCAUGGGUAGCGAACAGGAUUAGAUACCCUGGUAGUCCAUGCCGUAAACGAUGAGUGCUAGGUGUUGGAGGGUUUCCGCCCUUCAGUGCCGGAGCUAACGCAUUAAGCACUCCGCCUGGGGAGUACGACCGCAAGGUUGAAACUCAAAGGAAUUGACGGGGGCCCGCACAAGCGGUGGAGCAUGUGGUUUAAUUCGAAGCUACGCGAAGAACCUUACCAGGUCUUGACAUCUUGCGCUAACCUUAGAGAUAAGGCGUUCCCUUCGGGGACGCAAUGACAGGUGGUGCAUGGUCGUCGUCAGCUCGUGUCGUGAGAUGUUGGGUUAAGUCCCGCAACGAGCGCAACCCUUGUUACUAGUUGCCAGCAUUAAGUUGGGCACUCUAGUGAGACUGCCGGUGACAAACCGGAGGAAGGUGGGGACGACGUCAGAUCAUCAUGCCCCUUAUGACCUGGGCUACACACGUGCUACAAUGGACGGUACAACGAGUCGCAAGCUCGCGAGAGUAAGCUAAUCUCUUAAAGCCGUUCUCAGUUCGGACUGUAGGCUGCAACUCGCCUACACGAAGUCGGAAUCGCUAGUAAUCGCGGAUCAGCAUGCCGCGGUGAAUACGUUCCCGGGCCUUGUACACACCGUCCGUCACACCAUGGGAGUUUGUAACGCCCAAAGUCGGUGGCCUAACCUUUAUGGAGGGAGCCGCCUAAGGCGGGACAGAUGACUGGGGUG